rnacentral:rRNA from 1 species
AUUGAACGCUGGCGGCAUGCCUUACACAUGCAAGUCGAACGGUAACAGGUCUUCGGAUGCUGACGAGUGGCGAACGGGUGAGUAAUGCAUCGGAACGUGCCCAGUUGUGGGGGAUAACUGCUCGAAAGAGCAGCUAAUACCGCAUACGACCUGAGGGUGAAAGCGGGGGAUCGCAAGACCUCGCGCAAUUGGAGCGGCCGAUGUCAGAUUAGGUAGUUGGUGGGGUAAAGGCCUACCAAGCCGACGAUCUGUAGUUGGUCUGAGAGGACGACCAGCCACACUGGGACUGAGACACGGCCCAGACUCCUACGGGAGGCAGCAGUGGGGAAUUUUGGACAAUGGGGGCAACCCUGAUCCAGCCAUGCCGCGUGAGUGAAGAAGGCCUUCGGGUUGUAAAGCUCUUUCGGACGGAAAGAAAUCGCCAUCUCUAACAUAGGUGGUGGAUGACGGUACCGUCAUAAGAAGCACCGGCUAACUACGUGCCAGCCGCCGCGGUAA